CGAGGUAACAAAUCCAAUUGAAUACAACGUGACUUUCAUUGUUGACAAUCUGUCUAUUGAAAAAAUUGAAGCAAACCCUUCAGAAACAGCAACCAUGAUUGCAAAUGAGCUCACAGACCUGUUUGAGAACAGCAAUAUCAAUGCAACAUUCUUAAAAUGUGCUGUGAAAUCAUUCAGAGAGGUCAUGGCUAACAGCACCAGAGUUACAGCUGAUUGUUCAUUCCAAAAUGUGUCCACCAUG